CGCAAUUCUUUCAUCGCGUUUGUCCUGAGAGAACAAAAGGGACUUCAUAAAACCGCAGAGUGGCCUUGCUGAGGGUCGUGCGCUGUCCUUGGCUAAGCUGUGAGCCUUGAGUAUUCGUAUCUGUGCGACGGCUGGAGGUGCUGGCAGACCUACUUGCUGUAGACGAGGUCAGUUUUUCAUCCACCUUCAUCCAUAGAGGCAGGACCUAGAGGAGGAGAUAGGAGACUCUGAACCUGCCCCUUUUACGAACUGCAGGAGAUCCUACCAUCGUUCAGGGUGAUGGCUUUAAGAACGCCUGGAAACUCAUCAGGCAUGUCUGAAUUGUGCCAUAUGAACCUGCACUCCUCUAAAGCAGAACAAGGGAAACAAGUAACUCUGCUCUCUCCUGUAUGUGACAGGGAGAGAGACUGACUGUAUUAUGCAAUGAAGGAAGCCAGAGAAUAAUGAGAAUGAUGUAAUAAAGAUGUUUGAAUCCUCCUGAAGAGGAGGGCA
rnacentral:lncRNA from 1 species